rnacentral:rRNA from 1 species
AGUGAACGCUGGCGGUAGGCCUAACACAUGCAAGUCGAACGGCAGCACAGUAAGAGCUUGCUCUUACGGGUGGCGAGUGGCGGACGGGUGAGGAGUACAUCGGAAUCUACUUUUUCGUGGGGGAUAACGUAGGGAAACUUACGCUAAUACCGCAUACGACCUACGGGUGAAAGCAGGGGAUCUUCGGACCUUGUGCGAUUGAAUGAGCCGAUGUCGGAUUAGCUAGUUGGCGGGGUAAAGGCCCACCAAGGCGACGAUCCGUAGCUGGUCUGAGAGGAUGAUCAGCCACACUGGAACUGAGACACGGUCCAGACUCCUACGGGAGGAAGCAGUGGGGAAUAUUGGACAAUGGGCGCAAGCCUGAUCCAGCCAUACCGCGUGGGUGAAGAAGGCCUUCGGGUUGUAAAGCCCUUUUGUUGGGAAAGAAAAGCAGCAGGUUAAUACCCCGCUGUUCUGACGGUACCCAAAGAAUAAGCACCGGCUAACUUCGUG